CAGCGGAGAGAACGAGAGGGCGAGAGAGAGGGAGGGGCGACGGGCGGUGGGCCUCGUCGGCCGACGGACCGAGGGCAGCGACCUGGAUCUGGCCGGUGGGCGAUGGGGGCGGCGGCCACCGACGUGAAAGCGACAGCCAGCCACGGGGAGGCGGCGGCCCGGUGUCGGGAGAGCGGCGGCCGGCGACGGGAGGCCAGGUAUGUCCACCGGGGGAGGGGAAGGAGAGGGAGAGAGAGAAGAAGAAGGCCGGGAGGGGCUCACCGGCGGCGAGGGGGGUGCUCAGAGUGGAAGAUGGCAGGGUGCUCGGAGGGAGAGAGCGGAUGGAGGUGAGGAUAGGGGUCUGCACUGUUCACCUUCUUAUAUAGAGAUGGAGACGGGGCUGCGUGGAGCGGGGCGCGAGGGGGCUGCACGGGGUGCGAGGCUGCAGCGCAGGACGUGAGAUAUGUCGUCGCGGCGCGGCGCGGCGCGGCGGCGGGGUCACGUGAAGGGGACGGGAGAGACGGAAGAGAGAGGAAAGGGAAAAAAAUUAGGGAAUUAACACAAGGCCUUCGACCUCGGCGGCCACCAGAUCGUGCACCGCAUCUAGAAGGAUUACUAUGCAUCGCGGGGACGACGUAGGCGUAGGGGUCAGUGCCGCCGCCACCACUGCAGGGCAACCGGAGCGGCCGGAUCCACGACGGGAGCGACAAAUCCACGAUGGGCUCGACCCGAUCAAUGGCGGGAGUGACCAGCCGUGUGGCGACAGGCAGCGCGAACCGCACCAGCUCGUGUGGCUGUGCUGGGAGGCAGGCUCGUGCGGUGUCUGACGGUGGAGUGUUGGUCUUUUUGAUGGAUCUCUGAAUUGCAUUGGUUUGUUUGUUUCAGGCAAUUCUGCACUGGUGAGCACAGGUAAGAUGCAUCUGGUUGUUGAUUAUUGGCCUUUGGGCUUAUGUAUGAGGCUAAUUCUGCAACGUUGACUUUAUCUUCAUCCAUUUAGUUUAGUAUGAAUUGGUAGUGGAUUUGCUAUUAUACUGGGCUUGGUUAUUUGAUCAGGAUACUAGAUUGUGCAGAAAGAAUGGGUAUACGGAAACGCAAAUGUGGAUUUGACAUAUUUUCUACUUCUGUUGCUGGUUAUGAUUGAAAAAAUGCUUUGCCACGGAGGUAUAAGGGUUGUCAGUUCCACAGAGUGAUCAAAGGUUUCAUGAUUCAAUGUGGUGACUUCUUGAAGCUAUGGAGCUAUCUUUUGUCAAUGCUUGGGGAGCAGAAGAACAAUAUUGGUACUCUGUAUUCUGUAGAACUAGUCAUUUUUAUUAUUUAUGUAAGCAUAGAGUGAAAAUUUUAUGUAACCAGAAUAUCUCUAAAUUGGAGCUGUCUUUUCCUAUUAGAGUCAUGAUGUAUUUUGAGGUUUUAGAACUUAAUAUGCAUGUAAAUAUGAACUUACAUUUUGGAUCUGGACCCAACACACAUUAGCGACGGGUCUAGAUUUGACCUGUUGUUAA